ACCUCAGCAUUUCAGUCUGGACGAACAGCAUAGAAGCCGACAGCUUGCCCUGCCUGAUGAAACUUCUUUGGAGGACGUAGGCAGCGAACAGGAACCUUGUCCCACCCAUCACGUUGCUCUUCCUGCCGAAAUGCAUUUAGAGGAGGUUUAUUCAUGUUCAAGCAGUGAAGAAGCAAGCUGUGCUGACCAAGGUGCUCAUAAUUCUCCUUCUUCAACCAGUGAUGCGGAACAGUAUUUAUCAGAUGAUGGAACCCAUGAGGAAAGCCACCCUUUUG